CCUGCCGCGCGGGAAGCGGCUCCGUGGGGGGGGGCGGACGGGCCCCGCCAGGGACAGGUCGCGGCCCCCGCCGUGCUGCGGGCCGGGCCGGGGAGAGCCGAGCAGGCCCCCCCGGAGCGGGGCCGGGGCGCAGAGCUGCGGCGGCGGCAGGAGCGGGCUGGGGCCUCCCCGGCGAAGGGGGAGCCGGGGGAGCCCCGAGCGGGGCCUUGGCGGGGCGCCCGGUCUGUGCCCUGCCCCGGCUCGUGGGGGGCGGGGCCGGCCCGGCCCACCGGCGGCCUGAGCAGCCCGCAGGGCGGCCGGGCUCCAGCCUGAAGCGUCAAACUGCCGCCUCAAGGCGCCGCCGAUCCCUGGGGCCCCGCUCAGAGCCCUGGCCUCCGCGCCAGCCCUGGGCCAAGCUUUCGCCCUCCCGCCACACACCCUGUGGAGCGCCAGCGCCCGGCUAUAAGCCUGGGACUAGGUCAUCGGCCAGGUCCAGCCUCCCCUACAGGCAGCGCCAGCGGGCUUUUAAGCGGCCGAAAGCACACGCCACAGUCAUUCUGCGCCAGCUCAGCCUGCUGUUGAACUGCUCCGUGCUGCGGUCAAGGUGCCUGGGCCUGGCUUCGUAAGCCGUGGCAUGGACGGGUAGGCAGAGUCUCCCAGGCUCACAGUGGGCAUUUCGACUUCCCCUACGGUGAUCUUCUGGUCUGGGAAGAAAGUCCCUGUUUGCAGCUUCCGGAACAGGCCAGUGUUCUGAAAGAUGCGUGCGUCAUGCACCUUUCCAGACCAGCCUGCGUUAAUAUCUGUGAAAUGCCCAUGGUGAUCCACAAGCUCCUGGAGAACCAUAGAGAAAUACUCCUUCCAAUUAAUGUACUCAGUGCCUAGGUGGGCUGGUGCCAGAAUUGGACUCUGCAUGCCAUCUAUCACCCCUCCAUACUUAGGGAAGCCCAUUUGUGCAAAGUAUUUCAGAGCAGGAUGCAAUUAAUGGCCCUGCACGCUUCCUUCAGCACGAGUCCAAUGGUAGACUUGCCCAUGCCGAACUGAUUAGCAACCAAUCAGUAGCAGUCUGGAGUAGCCAGCUUCCAUAGUGCAAUCGCCACACGCUUCUCCAACGGCAGGGCAGCUCUCAUUCUUAUGUCCUUUCGCUGCAAGGCUGGGGUGAGCUCAUCACACAGUGCCAUGAAUGUGGCUUUCCUCAUCCGAAAGUUCUGCAGUCACUGCUCCUCAUCCAAGACAUGCAUCAUGAUGUGAUCCCACCACUCAGUGCUUGUUUCCUGAGCCCAAAAGCAGCGUUCCACUGUGGUCAGCACCUCCGUGAAUGCCACAAGCAAGCUCAUGUUGUAGCUACUAUGUGUGGAGAUUCUUAGUCUUGAGACUCACAGCUGGACACAACUGAAAUCCAGCCCUACUCAGGCAGCCCCACACUGUGUGCAUUUUGCUGGCUUUCAGGGCUGUCCUGGAACUUGGAGAGAUGGUGGAGCACCUGAGAGUUCUGAAUUUGCCCUUAAACCUGCAAGCAGACUGAAUGUUUCUGCUGUAGCUGCACACCUGGCUUCUUGAACUGAAGAGGUUUUCAGAAACUCCAACCUGUCAAAAAGACAUGAAAUUGUAUAGAAGAUCCUUGGGUCCUGAGUCUGUCAUCGCAGAUCUGUUUAAGCUUCAUCAGGGGAAGUUUGAGUCACAAGACUGAGGUCCCAGUUAUGCUGGUAUGCCCUGAAUAUGAUAUUUGAACAUUGGACUAUAAACUAUGCACUAUUUCUGAAAGAUCUCUUUGCAACUACAAAGCUCACCAUCUCUGCUAUGAAUCUGCACCUCAAUGAACUGAACUCAUGUCUGUAUGUAAAUUGAUUUUUUAACCAUUCUCUCUCUCUUUUGUUUUUUAAUUAAUUUUAGUUUAGUUAAUAAGAAUUGGCUGUAGCACGUAUUUGAGUAAGAUCUGAAACAUUCAUUAACCUGGAAGGUAAUGUGUCCGAUCCUUUGGGAUUGGUAAAACCUUUUCUUAUGAUGAAAUAAGAUUUACAGAAAUUUUCAUCAUAUUUGACGUGGGUACCUGGAGGAGACCUGAGGCUGGAUCACUUUAAGGGAACUGUGUUGUUUGGACUUCUGAGUAACCAGUAAGGUAAUAAAGAAGCUGUUUU